GGCGCAAAGGAGGGAUACAAGUGUUUAACAGUGAAAUAAAAAACAAAGAAUAUGCAAAUAAAAAUGUCAGUAAUACAUAUCUCAAAUAACUAAUGCAUGAAAAGAUUUAUGUUUCCAGUUCAUUUUCCAAUAAUCUUAGUAAUAUACAGUUAUAGUUCACUGUGUUUCCAGUUCAUUUUUCAAUAAUCUUAGUCAUAUACAGUUACACUGUUU
rnacentral:misc_RNA from 1 species